rnacentral:rRNA from 1 species
UCGUGGGUUGACCUGUCUGCUUGAUUGCGAUAACGAACGAGACCUCCACCUACUAAAUACAGUGCCGCUAUCGAGCGGUGGCUGUUCUUAGAGGGACUAUCGGUGCAAGCCGAAGGAAGCUGGAGGCAAUAACA